rnacentral:misc_RNA from 1 species
ACAGAAAUAAAUCAGUUUGGUCCAUUGAUUCUGAUUUCAGCAAUCAAAAACUCAAAUCCAUUUCAUGAUUCAAUAAUCAACAAAAAUAAGCAACAACCCAACCAAAACAGAUGAACCAAUAAUCAAAAUUUCAAAUUUAUCUUAAGCAAAAAGCAACAACAGUAGGCAAAGAACCCAGACCAAAUCUCAGCCAUAAGCAGAUUCAGAAUCUCCAAAGACUGAAUCGCAUACCCAUGAACCCAAACCGAAUCAUAAAAGUAGAAUUUCAAAACCCAUAGGCAAUCCCAGAAUCGUAGAACCCAGAUGGCGAUUUGUGAGGCGUGAAAGAUGAGUGACUCGCUUACCCAUGAGUAUGUCUCAAAGCUCUAAAACGAAGAGUUGUGGUUGCUUGCGAGUUCAUCCGGGCGUCGUCAUGUCUGUGAGCCGACGACGAAAAAUGGAUUUGGGAGGGGAAAUUUUGAAAAUGAAGAAUUGAUGGCUGAGGCUUGAGAAGGAUUUGGGAGGAAAGUUGAGAAGUGAAGGGAAUAAAUGAAGAAGUGAAGAAGAAAAGGCAGUCUUUGAGGGUUUGAGGAAAGAACAAGGAAGAAGGGAGAAGAAAUUGAAGGUGUGAGAUGAAGGGAAAACGAAGGGUUUUAUAACUUCUAGUUGGGUUUUCCUGCAUGUACAUGCUCAUUUGCUAAACCAGUGGAGAUCAAUACUAGUCGUAAGUCGUCUUUGAUAUGGCCGUCAGAAGGAUAAAAAUUAAGAGGAAGGCGAAAAAUUCGUGGAAAGUCAUAUUAAACUUUGUGUUUUCAUACUAAAUUGAUACUUCCAAAUACAUUUCCAUCCAUGGUUUCCUAGAAUUUAAAAAUUUUUCAAUUAGUUCAUUGACUUGAAUCAUUGUUACAUUCCACAAAGCGUAG